GGUUUUAUAUUCUAAUCAAGAAUUUAAGUUGCAAACUUAAUAAUAUAAUUUUAUUAUUAAAACUU
rnacentral:tRNA from 1 species